rnacentral:rRNA from 1 species
AUUGAACGCUGGCGGCAGGCUUAACACAUGCAAGUCGAGCGGAGAUGAGGUGCUUGCACCUUAUCUUAGCGGCGGACGGGUGAGUAAUGCUUAGGAAUCUGCCUAUUAGUGGGGGACAACAUUCCGAAAGGAAUGCUAAUACCGCAUACGUCCUACGGGAAAAAGCAGGGGAUCAUCGGAACGUGGGGUACUAGUAGAGCUUAAGUCGGAUUAGCUAGUUGGUGGGGUAAAGGCAACAAAGGCGACGAUCUGUAGCGGGUCUGAGAGGAUGGUCCGCCACACUGGGACUGAGACACGGCCCAGACUCCUACGGGAGGCAGCAGUGGGGAAUAUUGGACAAUGGGCGGAAGCCUGAUCCAGCCAUGCCGCGUGUGUGAAGAAGGCCUUAUGGUUGUAAAGCACUUUAAGCGAGGAGGAGGCUACUUUAGUUAAUACCUAGAGAUAGUGGACGUUACUCGCAGAAUAAGCACCGGCUAACUCUGUGCCAGCCGCCGCAGUAAUAC